rnacentral:rRNA from 1 species
UUGGAGGGCAAGUCUGGUGCCAGCAGCCGCGGUAAUUCCAGCUCCAAUAGCGUAUAUUUAAGUUGUUGCAGUUAAAAAGCUCGUAGUUGAAUUUCGGGAUUAGUACGUUGGUCGUGCCUUAGGUACGUACUGGUGUUACUGGUUUCUACCUUCUGACGAACCAUCAUGUCAUUAAUUUGGUGUGGUGGGGAAUCAGGACUGUUACUUUGAAAAAAUUAGAGUGUUUAAAGCAGGCUCGCGCUUGAAUACAUUAGCAUGGAAUAAUGAAAUAGGACGUUGAUCCUAUUUUGUUGGUUUCUAGAAUUGACGUAAUGAUUAAUAGGGAUAGUUGGGGGCAUUAGUAUUCAAUUGUCAGAGGUGAAAUUCUUGGAUUUAUUGAAGACUAACUACUGCGAAAGCAUUUGCCAAGGAUGUUUUCAUUAAUCAAGAACGAAAGUUAGGGGAUCGAAGACGAUCAGAUACCGUCGUAGUCCUAACCAUAAACUAUGCCGACUAGGGAUCGGAUGAUAUUAAUUUUUUAAUGACUCAUUCGGCGCCUUACGGGAAAC